UACGUAGGGUGCAAGCGUUAUCCGGAAUUAUUGGGCGUAAAGAGCUCGUAGGCGGUUUGUCGCGUCUGCUGUGAAAACCCGAGGCUCAACCUCGGGCCUGCAGUGGGUACGGGCAGACUAGAGUGCGGUAGGGGAGAAUGGAAUUCCUGGUGUAGCGGUGGAAUGCGCAGAUAUCAGGAGGAACACCGAUGGCGAAGGCAGUUCUCUGGGCCGUAACUGACGCUGAGGAGACGAAAGCGUGGGGAGCGAACAGG
rnacentral:rRNA from 1 species